GGACAUCCUUCUAAGGAGACAUGAAUAGUGGUCAUCUUUCUGCCUUCUGCAUAACUGGCUCUGCGCUUGCAGAGGAAUUGUCCAGGAGUCCCAGAUGGAGCAGAAACUGGAGGAGGUGGAUCUGAGCAGCUUGGACAUCCUUCUAAGGAGACAUUUAGAAUGCAGAAAGCUGAGGACUGUUCAUAACUGGCUGUGAGUAAGAGGUGCACUUGCACAGGAAUUGUUCUUCAGGAGCCCCAGCCCCGGGAGAAACUGGCAGAAGUGGACGUGAGCAGCCUGGACAUUCUUCUAAAGAGACAUGAACAGUCUAUCCUGCAUAACUACACUUCACGACUUUUAGGGGCACGGCUAAAGCCCAAGAUUAAUGCAGGGUAGAGGCUGAGUACAGACGGCUGCGUCCCUUUAGGUGGGUUUGGUUUUCCUCCUUGUUGUGGGUGCAGGAGGAGAAUAUCCCUAUCUUCUAAGCUGCUGAUCUUCCAGGACAGAGAGGAGCGGGUUCUUCUGAGCAGUGGCCUGCAACCAGGAAGAGGGAUCGUCCAGGAGCCCAGACAGCGGAGAAACUGGAAGAAGUGAACCUGAGCAGCCUGGACAUCCUUGUAAGCAGAGAGGAAGAGUCCUCAGCUUUCUGCCUUCUCCAUGACUGGCUUACCACAGACAAAGAAGUCAAGGGUAAGAGCCCACCCCCGUUUUGAGAUGUAAAGUGCACAAGAGCCGUGAGACAGUGAGCGUUGUUGAUGCCAGGCUAUGCAGAUGCCAUCGAGCUGGGAGUGGAGCAGACGUCACCAUCAGUGAGAUAAGUGUCUGGUUCGGUGAAGACUUUGCUAACGGCCCACCUGCCUCCAGGCUGGGACUUGUCGUUAGCUGGGGCUUGGUUUGUAAGAAAAGGUUCCUGAGUAGCUGUGGUUAGGAAGGAGACAAGGUCCCCAUUUCAGGGGCUGCUCAUUUCUCUGUCCAUAAAUGGUGUGUCCUCUCUAGCAGUCAGGGCUGGCUCCAGGCACUAGCUUAUCAAGCAGGUGCUUGGGGCGGCAACUCCUGAGCAGGGCGGCACUUAGAGGUAUUCGGCGGCAAUUCGGUGAAGAGUCCCUCACUAGGAGCGAAGGACCUCCCGCUGAAUUGCCACAGAUCGCGAUCGUGGCUUUUUUUGUUUUUUGUUUUUUUUGGCUGCUUGUGGCGACAAAACCCCUGGAGCCAGCCCUGCUAGCAGUAGGUUCAAUCCAAGGGGAUGACUCCAGUUUCUUGCCUUCCUCCUGUUUUUUUUUUUUUCUCUCUCUUCUAAUGUGUUGGCCAACACUCUCUCCCUGUGUCUAUCUUUCUCUGUCCUUUCCUCUCCUUGUGCUGUUUCCCUUCAUAGGACAUGGGCAGUGGUGCUAGCUGUGCAUCCCCACAGGCUAGGUCUCGGGAGUAUGAAGAAGUAGGAGGGGAUGAAAAAUCAUGCUGGACAGUGGGUGUGAGAAUGGAGCGGUGACUCAGUGUUUACUCGGUCUGUAUUCAUUGAGUGGAUUUCACGCACCAAUAGAGCUGUAUGUAGUGAUGUCUCAUGCUUGGCUUUUGCAGCUGUGCUUCUAGAGGAAUCAUGGAGGAGCAGCAGCCGAAGGAGAAGGUGGCAGACGUGGACCUGAGCAGCUUGGGCAUUCUUCUAAGCAGAGCUUAACAGUCCUCAGCUUUCUGCCUUGCACAUAACUGGCUGUGACUAAGCGAUACUGUAUUCAAAGCACUGAACUCCUCACUUAAAGUCGCCCCGGUUAACGUUGUUACAUUGCUGAUCAGUUAGGGAGCAUGCUUGUGUAACAUUGCGCAAUGCUCCCUUAUAACGUUGCUUGGCAGCUGCCUGGUU